AGAGUUUGAUCAUGGCUCAGAAUGAACGUUGGCGGCGUGGAUUAGGCAUGCAAGUCGAACGAGAUCUGUAGCAAUACAGUGAAAGUGGCGAAAGGGAGAGUAAUACGUAGGUACCUGCCCUCGGGUCUGGGAUAGCUGCGGGAAACUGCAAUUAAUACCGGAUGACGUCUCUGGACCAAAGGUGUGAUUCCGCCAGGGGAUGGGCCUGCGUCCUAUCAGCUAGUUGGUGUGGUAACGGCGCACCAAGGCUAAGACGGGUACGGGGUGUGAGAGCAUGCCCCCGCUCACUGGGACUGAGAUACUGCCCAGACACCUACGGGUGGCUGCAGUCGAGAAUCUUCCGCAAUGGGCGCAAGCCUGACGGAGCGACGCCGCGUGUGGGAUGAAGGCCUUCGGGUUGUAAACCACUGUCAGUGGGGAGCAAGUGCAUCAGGGUUCUCCCUGGUGUUGAGCGAUCCGCAGAGAG
rnacentral:rRNA from 1 species